AGCGCAGCUCCGCGUCCCGUCACCAUGGCGACCCGCUCGGCCGGGAGGAGGCGGCGGGAGGAGCGAGGGCGCGCGUGCGCAGCGGGGGAGUCGGGAAAGGCGUCGCCGAAAACAUUUCCCGCCAACUGGCUGUUUAAAGGGACGAGCCUUUGGCCCGAGAGCGCAUGCGCGAUUUGAUGGCAUGUGCCGGCGAGGACGGGACGAGUUCCAGAACAUCUGCAUAUUACACCUUGCCUUACCCUGGAAUGAUUUAGAAGCAGAAAAACAAAGGGGAGAACUGGAAUGACUGCAUUCGUUAAUCCUGCCCUUCAGCAACUUUGGUGCAGAUUAUGGGGUAACUAGUCACGCCAUACCUUGCUCUCGCUCUGUAAUGCCAUGCUUAUCUAUUCAGGUUCCAGCUACUAAUUGGAUUAAAUUAUUGUAAGUCA